AGCCGCCGCGGUAACACCGGCGGCCCGAGUGGUGAUCGUGAUUAUUGGGUCUAAAGGGUCCGUAGCCGGUUGGUCAGUCCUCCGGGAAAUCUGAUAGCUCAACUAUUAGGCUUUCGGGGGAUACUGCCAGACUUGGAACCGGGAGAGGUAAGAGGUACUACAGGGGUAGGAGUGAAAUCUUGUAAUCCCUGUGGGACCACCUGUGGCGAAGGCGUCUUACCAGAACGGGUUCGACGGUGAGGGACGAAAGCUGGGGGCACGAACCGGAUUAGAUACCCGGGUAGUCCCAGCCGUAAACGAUGCUCGCUAGGUGUCAGGCAUGGCGCGACCGUGUCUGGUGCCGCAGGGAAGCCGUGAAGCGAGCCACCUGGGAAGUACGGCCGCAAGGCUGAAACUUAAAGGAAUUGGCGGGGGAGCACAACAACGGGUGGAAGCCUGCGGUUUAAUUGGACUCAACGCCGGACAACUCACCGGGGGCGGCAGCAAUAUGUAGGCCAAGCUGAAGACUUUGCCUGAAUCGCUGAGGAGUGGUGCAUGG
rnacentral:rRNA from 1 species